rnacentral:misc_RNA from 1 species
GAUAUAGCUUUCCUAAGAUUGUAAUGAUACCUGGUGAUAACUAUUGUUAUCUUAUAGUUAAAGUAUUCAGCACUAGUCGGUCGUUGUUUAGUAAGUCUAUAUAAAAUCGUGGUCAUCUUUCCACUAUUCAUUGCUUCUGAAAUGACUAAUAUGAUAUAAAAUAAUAAUCAUCGUUUCAUUGCUUGUAUCUUAAUUUUCUAAUAGAUGUAUAACUCAUUUGUUACAACAUUCAAGCAAUGUGUAACAUGACAACUGUCACAAAAUGAAAAACAAUGUUUAAAGCUUUGUAAACAAAAAAAGAAGAAGAUAUUUUUCAUGAUCUCAAAGAUUGUGUAUGUACAUAUAUUUUUUAUUGUUGUGAUUGAAUUUAAGGAAUUGUGUAUAUAUCAUUAAUCAUACUGACCAUCAUAUGGCAAUAUUUUCUGUUAAGUUUGACUUUAGCCGUGUCUAACACAUCGCUUCAGGGUUUGUUAUGUUAAUAUUUGAUAUUUAUUUGGUUUUAUUCAUUAUGUAUUUGUUUAUUUAUUGAGAACUCCAUACUUGAAUUUUGUUGUGUUUGAAAUAAAUCUGUUUUAAUUUACACUGUC